GCUGGGGAUCGUCUGCCUAUGUGAGGCGAGCGGUAGACACUGAGUAGCUUGCUCUCGGGUAGACGAGCGGCGGACGGGUGAGUAAUGUCUGGGAAACUGCCUGAUGGAGGGGGAUAACUACUGGAAACGGUAGCUAAUACCGCAUAACGUCGCAAGACCAAAGUGGGGGACCUUCGGGCCUCAUGCCAUCAGAUGUGCCCAGAUGGGAUUAGCUGGUAGGUGGGGUAACGGCUCACCUAGGCGACGAUCCCUAGCUGGUCUGAGAGGAUGACCAGCCACACUGGAACUGAGACACGGUCCAGACUCCUACGGGAGGCAGCAGUGGGGAAUAUUGCACAAUGGGCGCAAGCCUGAUGCAGCCAUGCCGCGUGUGUGAAGAAGGCCUUCGGGUUGUAAAGCACUUUCAGCGGGGAGGAAGGCGGUGAGGUUAAUAACCUCAUCGAUUGACGUUACCCGCAGAAGAAGCACCGGCUAACUCCGUGCCAGCAGCCGCGGUAAUACGGAGGGUGCAAGCGUUAAUCGGAAUUACUGGGCGUAAAGCGCACGCAGGCGGUCUGUCAAGUCGGAUGUGAAAUCCCCGGGCUCAACCUGGGAACUGCAUUCGAAACUGGCAGGCUAGAGUCUUGUAGAGGGGGGUAGAAUUCCAGGUGUAGCGGUGAAAUGCGUAGAGAUCUGGAGGAAUACCGGUGGCGAAGGCGGCCCCCUGGACAAAGACUGACGCUCAGGUGCGAAAGCGUGGGGAGCAAACAGGAUUAGAUACCCUGGUAGUCCACGCUGUAAACGAUGUCGAUUUGGAGGUUGUGCCCUUGAGGCGUGGCUUCCGGAGCUAACGCGUUAAAUCGACCGCCUGGGGGAGUACGGCCGCAAAGGUUAAAACUCAAAUGAAUUGACGGGGGCCCGCACAAGCGGGUGGAGCAUGUGGUUUAAUUCGAUGCAACGCGAAGAACCUUACCUGGGUCUUGACAUCCACAGAAACUUUGCCAGAGAUGGCAUUGGUGCCCUUUCGGGAACUGUGAGAACAGUUGCUGGCAUGGCUGGUCGUCAGCUUCGUGCUGUGAAAUGAUGGUUAAGUUCCGCAACCGAGCGCAACCCUUAUUCCCU
rnacentral:rRNA from 1 species